CGUACGUUGACUGCGCGCUUUGUGACUGUUGAUAGCCGUUUUCUUCUUCAUCGUCGUCUUUUCAAUUUCAAACCACCAAGUCAAACAGGGGACACUUCUCGGAGAACUAAGGCUCUACCGGGAGACGCACCAUGUCGAGGCGCUACAUAAGCGGUGCCUCCUGAAGGAGAAAGGAAACUGUGACGCCGAUGACACUAUGGGCGGUAUAAGUUUCCACCGUUUUCCUCGGGACCCCUUGAGCUUUCAGUCUGUAUGGACACUCCCUGGAUAGGUCAUCCUUCCACAGUGAGGUGGUAAACAUGUA